AAAACCUAUUAUCUGAUCCACACUCCGGGACAGAAGAGGGCGGUAUUGCACCAAUAAGCUGGAUGCCAACCGCCGUUAAACUGGAAAGAAGUUACAAUGAGUUACAAUGAUCUUUUGUGGUGGAGCAGGACCUGCAAGGAAAGGGGAAAAAAAGGAAAAACCUGAAACAAAAGAAUAAAGUAGUGGUGCUCAUGGAGAGCAGCACACGAUUGUUUGGAGCAGACACAGCAGCAGUCAGAUUGUCCUGCAUGUGUUCUUCUGCUCUCGCUUCAAGGUAGUGUGGUUCAGAGAGCCGUCAUCAAGGUCUUCCUCAUCCUGUUGCUCAACGACAUCCCCGUUGAGAAGAGUGAGAUUGUGAAGCACAGCGCAGCAGCAGAACUGUCUCAGCUGUGUUGAGAUGAUAGUAAGAUGUGGGGUUCACCGUCUGUAAAUACAUGAUUGUUAGAACAGUUAGUUUGAAAGAAGCUUUGUUUCAUGUGUUGUUGACUUGUACAUGUCUGUAUUUAUUGUGGUGCUAACAUUUAUACAUUCUUUUAAUCAUUUAGACAUGUUUCUUGUUGUCAGUAAAUAAAAUAUAAAUAUUUGAUCUA
ensembl:lncRNA